UGGGGUGUGGCUCAGUGGUAGAGCACUUGCUAGCACAUAUGAGGUUCUGGGUUCAAGCCUCGGCACUGCAA
rnacentral:tRNA from 1 species